UUUUGCGGAUUUCUUCGGAUUGAAGCAACUGUGACUGAGCGGCGGACGGGUGAGUAACGCGUGGGUAACCUGCCUCAUACAGGGGGAUAACAGUUGGAAACGGCUGCUAAUACCGCAUAAGCGCACAGUACCGCAUGGUACCGUGUGAAAAACUCCGGUGGUAUGAGAUGGACCCGCGUCUGAUUAGCUAGUUGGUGGGGUAACGGCCUACCAAGGCGACGAUCAGUAGCCGACCUGAGAGGGUGACCGGCCACAUUGGGACUGAGACACGGCCCAAACUCCUACGGGAGGCAGCAGUGGGGAAUAUUGCACAAUGGGGGAAACCCUGAUGCAGCGACGCCGCGUGAGCGAUGAAGUAUUUCGGUAUGUAAAGCUCUAUCAGCAGGGAAGAAAAUGACGGUACCUGACUAAGAAGCCCCGGCUAACUACGUGCCAGCAGCCGCGGUAAUACGUAGGGGGCAAGCGUUAUCCGGAUUUACUGGGUGUAAAGGGAGCGUAGACGGCAUGGCAAGCCAGAUGUGAAAGCCCGGGGCUCAACCCCGGGACUGCAUUUGGAACUGUCAGGCUAGAGUGUCGGAGAGGAAAGCGGAAUUCCUAGUGUAGCGGUGAAAUGCGUAGAUAUUAGGAGGAACACCAGUGGCGAAGGCGGCUUUCUGGA
rnacentral:rRNA from 1 species